rnacentral:rRNA from 1 species
UACAGAGGUCUCAAGCGUUGUUCGGAUUCAUUGGGCGUAAAGCGGGUGUAGGCGGACUUAUAAGUCAGGUGUGAGAUCCCAGGGCUCAACCCUGGAAGUGCAUUUGAUACUGUAAGUCUUGAAUGUGGUAGAGGUUACUGGAAUUGCUGGUGUAGUGGUGAAAUACGUAGAUAAUCAGCAGGAACACCGGAGGCGAAGGCGGGUAACUGGGCCAACAUUGACGCUGAGACCCGAAAGCGUGGGGAUCAAACAGG